CUAGCUUUGGUUAAUGUGUUUAAUUGUAUUAUGCUCCUGAAGGAGUGCUAAUGUAAAUUAAGGAACAGCUCAUAGUAGGGUAAAAUAUUUAAGGUGUAUUGAACUUAUUUUGUGUUAAUAUUAAAAUCAUUCAGCUUUAAAUUGUUUGUUUGUUAGCCACCUGCUAAUUAUCUUUAGCUAGCCAGCUAGCGCUAGAUUAUUAAUGCCAUGUAAUCCUCCCUAUAGCAUAUUGAUAACCUGUCAUCCUCCUUAGCUAGCGCUAGCAUAUUAAUAUCAUGUCAUUCUCUUUAGCUAGCUAGCUAAAGCUAGCACAUAUAAACACAUAAACCAAAGGUAGUGCUUAGCUACAUGCUAAUCGCUAGCUAUCCGCUAAUCGCUAGCUACAUGCUAAUCGCUAGCUAAGCGCUAAUCGCUAGCUGUGCGCUAAUCGCUAGCUAACCGCUAAUCGCUAGCUAAGUGCUAGCUUUGGUUAAUGUCUUUAAUUGUGUUAUGCUCCUGAAGGAGUGCUAAUGUAAAUUAAGGAACAGCUCAUAGUAGGGUAAAAUAUUUAAGGUGUAUUGAACUUAUUUUGUGUUAAUAUUAAAAUCAUUCAGCUUUAAAUUGUUUGCUUGUUAGCCACCUUCUAAUUAUCUUUAGCUAGCCAGCUAGCGCUAGAUUAUUAAUGCCAUGUAAUCCUGCCUUUAGCAUAUUGAUAACCUGUCAUCCUCCUUAGCUAGCGCUAGCAUAUUAAUAUCAUGUCAUUCUCUUUAGCUAGCUAGCUAGAGCUAGCACACAUAAACACAUAAACCAAAGCUAGCGCUUAGCUACGUGCUAAUCGCUAGCUAACCGCUAAUCGCUAGCUAACCGCUAAUCGCUAGCUACAUGCUAAUCGCUAGCUAAGCGCUAAUCGCUAGCUGAGUGCUAGCUUUGGUUAAUGUGUUUAAUUGUAUUAUGCUCCUGAAGGAGUGCUAAUGUAAAUUAAGGAACAGCUCAUAGUAGGGUAAAAUAUUUAAGGUGUAUUGUUCUUAUUUUGUGUUAAUAUUAAAAUCAUUCAGCUUUAAAUUGUUUGUUUGUUAGCCACCUGCUAAUUAUCUUUAGCUAGCCAGCUAGCGCUAGCUUAUUAAUGUCUUGUCAUUCUCUGUAGCUAGCUGUGUGUGUGUGUGUGUGUGUGUGUGUGUGUGUGAGCAGGCUUUGGUUGUCAUGGCAAUCAGGGGAGCCCACAGCAGCUGCGCACGCUCUCUCUCUGUCUCUAACUCCUCAGAGAGACAGAAAACAUUUAAAAUGAAUCCCCUCAAAAGCAUGGCCAGGAACGACCGAAAUGAAAACCGAAAAGACCGUGAGCGUCGUCAUCUUGUUGACUAUAGCGCUGCCGAGUUUCAGUGGUUAAAGUUAAAAAAUGUGACCUGGGGAGAUUGAGAGAGAAGAGGUUCAACGAGCGUUUUUCAAGAAUCCUCCUCUCCAUUUUAACAUGGGAGUAGAUGGGGCCAUGAGAGGGAGUUGCUGGCGCAUCAGUGCGUCUCCCGCCAAAACUAUUUGUCUGACAGCUUCAGCAGUAGUAUCACUGCGACCCCAACGAAUUUACCUACGUUUCUAUCUAUAAAUUAUUUCUGUACAGUGAAAUUUGUGGCCAUGACAGCAGUUUACAAAUUUAUUUUUCGACAAAUUUUUCUCUCUCCCCACACUCUAGCGAUGAUGUCACGCACUCUGGCAGUUUUUUUCGGUUGGAGGUUCUCGCAAUACACACCCAUUCAUUUUUUGGACCGGUUUUUGGCGAUUUAUCGGCAAACCGUUUGGCGAAAUUCUUAGAAAAGUCAUAGCACUCGAUUCCCGGCCGAGCCGCACGUUUUGAUACCUUUUUUGUGUAUGUGCGACAAAAGCUCCGGGAGGAGUAGCGCGCCGAAAA